AGCGAACGCUGGCGGCAGGCCUAACACAUGCAAGUCGAACGAAGUCUUCGGACUUAGUGGCGGACGGGUGAGUAACACGUGGGAACGUACCUUUUGGUUCGGAACAACUCAGGGAAACUUGAGCUAAUACCGGAUGAGCCCUUAGGGGGAAAGAUUUAUCGCCGAAAGAGCAGCCCGCGUUAGAUUAGCUAGUUGGUGAGGUAAAGGCUCACCAAGGCUACGAUCUAUAGCUGGUCUGAGAGGAUGAUCAGCCACACUGGGACUGAGACACGGCCCAGACUCCUACGGGAGGCAGCAGUGGGGAAUCUUGCGCAAUGGGCGAAAGCCUGACGCAGCUAUGCCGCGUGAAUGAUGAAGGUCUUAGGAUUGUAAAAUUCUUUUACCAGGGACGAUAAUGACGGUACCUGGAGAAAAAGCCCCGGCUAACUUCGUGCCAGCAGCCGCAGUAAAAC
rnacentral:rRNA from 1 species